AUGGCAACCACCCUCGCCACUGACGUUCGCCUCUCCAUUGCGCACCAGACCCGCUUUGCCUUCCGCCUCGCCUCCGCUAUCUCAUCCAACCCCGAGUCUACUGUCAACAAUGCCGCAUUCUCUCCAGUCUCCCUCCAUGUCGCGCUAAGCCUCAUCACCGCUGGCGCGGGGGGCGCCACCCGCAACCAACUCGCCGCUACACUGGGGGAAGGCGAGGUUGAGGGACUCCACGCACUCGCCGAGCAGGUGGUGCAGUUCGUCCUCGCCGACGCGUCCAACAUCGGCGGCCCGCGCGUCGCCUUCGCCAACGGCGUCUUCGUGGACGCGUCGCUGCAGCUCAAGCCAUCCUUCCAGGAGCUCGCAGUGUGCAAGUACAAGGCCGAGGCCCAGUCCGUGGACUUCCAAACUAAGGCCGCGGAAGUUACUGCUCAAGUGAACUCAUGGGUAGAGAAAGUCACAACCGGUCUCAUCAAAGAUAUUCUCCCCGCCGGAUCUAUUGACAAUACCACUAGACUUGUUCUUGGCAAUGCCCUUUAUUUCAAAGGAGCUUGGACAGAUCAGUUUGAUCCACGUGCAACACAAAGCGACGACUUCUACCUUCUUGAUGGGAGCUCAAUUCAAACACCAUUCAUGUACAGCUCAGAAGAACAAUACAUUUCUUCUUCUGAUGGCUUGAAGGUGCUUAAGCUUCCUUACAAGCAAGGUGGGGACAAGAGGCAGUUCUCCAUGUACAUCCUUCUCCCAGAAGCACUAAGUGGUCUCUGGAGCUUGGCAGAAAAGUUGAGUGCCGAACCAGAGUUCCUGGAGCAGCAUAUCCCAAGGCAGAAGGUUGCACUCAGGCAAUUCAAGCUCCCCAAGUUCAAGAUAUCCUUGGGAAUUGAAGCAUCUGAUUUGCUCAAAGGUUUGGGUCUGCAACUUCCAUUCGGUGCUGAAGCAGAUCUUUCGGAGAUGGUGGAUUCCCCAAUGGCACAGAACCUCUACAUCUCAUCCAUUUUUCACAAAGCAUUUGUCGAAGUGAAUGAAACAGGAACUGAGGCUGCAGCAACAACUAUUGCUAAAGUAGUCCUGCGACAAGCACCGCCGCCCUCGGUCUUGGAUUUCAUCGUGGAUCACCCUUUCCUCUUCCUUAUCCGGGAAGACACUUCCGGUGUGGUUCUAUUCAUCGGUCAUGUGGUCAAUCCCCUCCUAUCUUCGUAA
rnacentral:rRNA from 1 species